GAGUCGGUGGGUGCAACGGUUCAGCACGCGCUCCCCGUAAAGAGUGAGAUCUGGGUUCGAAUCCCGGAUGACGCA